GAUCCAGGCUGGUUCAUGGUGGAUUAGCAAUUAAAGAGAAUAUUCAUGAAUUCUUCUAAGUCUUCGAUGAGAGUCCUGCAUAUCCCACCACAAAUAUAAUAGAAAACUGAACUUGGUGAUCGAGCCAUUACCCAAGGCAUCGGGACUAUACAUGGAGAUAAGUAAAAUCUCAUAGGUCUUUUGCUAAGAUCAUACGAGAGUCAAGAAUGUGUGACAUGGUCUUGGAAUAC